GGGUACAUGAGUUUCCUUGAUUUCAUCCAUGUGCUUAGGCAUCUGCUAUUGGCCAAUUCUUGAGACAGAAAUUAUGCAAGGUAGACCUUCGGUGCAACACAGCACAGCUGUUCCUUCUGUCCUCAUCCCCGCGAGUUCCAUGGCCUAGACACUAUUAAUAAGCUUUUUUCAGAUAAAAUCUCUGAGAAGUUUUGGAAAAAAGACCUGGAAGAGGCAAAUGCUUUACAGGUGAGUUUCCACCUGCAUCAUCUGCUGUAAAACACAGCACUGUGAAAAUGGAAGAGAUAAACCUGGAAUGAUCUUGCAUCGCUAAGCUUGGCUUGCUGCUUCUGGAAGUGGAGAAGGAUGAAGGGUGUCCUCAUCUGAUUUCUACAGUUUGUAUCAAAUGCUGCCUGGGCCCUUCUCAACAACCACCAGUGAGGAAAUUGCAAGUUGCUGCUACUCUUCAGUGCAUUUUGCUAGAGGAAAAUUUGGACUGAUCAGGAGGAAAGCUUUCUCCAGCACACAACCUGCUCCUUUACCUGAAAACAGCAUGUUUCACCUGAUGCAGCGUAUGCCAAUGUCAAAAGCUGAGCUGGUAAUCCUUAGAAUUUGCAGGUAUCUCCACAGCCAUUUCCAGAUUUUAACAGCCUAGAUCAAGUCAUCAGACUUUUAUUCAAGCUCAUAACCCUCAGGUUGGGAAUCAGGUGUCCAGCUCUUCCCUGGGCUUAUUUAUAAAUAACCUCUCCAGGGUUUUAGCUGCCUCAACCGCCAUGGGUCAACAUCCAGGAAGGAAGAUGUUUCUAAGGAAACCGUGGAGGCUUUCCACCAAGGUGGUUGCAUGAAAGCACUGAAACUAGUGAGAGUGACAAAAAGCAGUUCAUUGGAUAAUGUAGAAAAAGGGACAACAUGGAGUUUGGUUACGUGAACACCAUCUGUCUCUUCAAAACUUCUGGUUUUUCCUAUUGGAAACUGAAACCCCCACUGGUGAGCAGCCCAGUCUUCCAGACCCAACCUGACAAGGGGAUUUGUAACAAAUAUGAGCACAGCAUCACCCAUCUUGGCAAUGUGUUCUGAGCUGGCACUUCCCUGCUGCCACAGAGCUGAAACAGAGAAGGGAAUGAUGGUGUGAGCAGGAGGUUUCAGGAAUGAGACUUUCUCACCAUGGCUGUUCCCACUGCUCAUUUCUUGCCUGGCACAUCCCUGACUGCACAAAUUACACCUUAUCUAUCUCUAUCCAUGCCCACUGCCACUGAAUUCCCUUUGUCCUAGGUGAACUCCACCCUUAGUACCCUUAUGCUUUCUAUAUGAGGUAGCAGACCAUAAUUUCUCUAUUAUGGAUCAGCUGUAGAACCUGUCCAUGGCUCUGAUCAUUGGUUAUACGGUAACUCCAAAGCAGGAAACAAAAAGACGUUUCAAGGCUAGCUCAUGCUUGCUACUUUAAUUUUAACUUUGCUCUUCUGAAGGUCAAUGGAGCCUUGGAUCCACGCAGAAUUCAAGGGGUAAGAAAACGCAUCAACCGAACUGAUAGAAAAGCAGUUCCUGCGCAUCUAUGUGGGCAGAAAAGUAAUGUACUUUGCAGAAGGCCUGAAGCAGAGAGGCUAGAAUAAAGAGAGAAAGAGCAAGAAGGGAAGACAUACAUGUGCCAUGCAGCUCCAGCACUUAUAACAGAAACAACGUGUUUGUUCCAACCAGAGCACGUACUCCUUUACUCAACAAUUCUGCUGUCACAUGCCACACACCAGACAAAACCAUACAUCAAAGUUACUGAGCACUUGCUAAGCAGCAAACGUGGCCAUUUAUCAUGUAGAGUUAUAUAUAUGCUAUUUCACAAUGGAAUGCAGUAUAUUAUGCUGGAACACAGUGGCAGCCACCUCCAAACACGCUGAACGAUAGAGCAUUUUUAUGCUGGGGGAAACAUCAGUUAGCUAUUAACUGUGACCGUCAGGCUCACUUUGUUUCUUAUUUAAGUCUCUCUGCUGAAGCAUUAAAAACUUUCUUCACUCUGCAGUCUCUUUGGUGGGUACAUUGUUUAUUUUUAUAUUUUAAUGGGAUGCAAUUUAUACUGGCACCUUUCUUAAUUUCAUCUCUCAAAUUUACUGGCUCAGCCUCUGGAACAAGAAAUGACCAAGCAGACAUAUGUAUUCUAGAUGACACCAUGAAGUCCAUAAACUGCAAUCUUUCUUUACUGGACAAUAUGUGGGUUACUAUUAAACCAAAAAACAUAUGUGAAUAAUUGAGGAAAGGGAUCCAGUAUUUAGCUCAGAAAAUGUGAAGUCAGCUUACUAAGAAUAACAUAUCUCUGCAUUUUGACCUGUUGCUGACAACAAAUAUAUUUCAUUAUUACCUGGAUAGCAAUGAUUGGGGUUUUUUUCCUCCUCUAAAUGAAAUCCAGUUGAGAGAAGCUGGCAACAGACAAAUUAUGCUUAUUCCACCCCUGCUUUUACUUAACGGCUGUUAUCAAGAUCCUCAGCAUUCAUUUGUGACAUUACUAUUAAAAACAUAUUUCUUAUCUGGGUCUUUUAUUCCUACAAAUAGAGUAUGGAAAUAAAUCUGUGCUGAUGGAGUGGUGAGCAUGCAGCCAUGGGAAGGUGACCCUGGGCUGGAGUACACUGAGCUGUGCACCUGCCUGGGCUGAGUUCACUGAGCAUCAUCUGCGCGUAGGGAACCCCAAAAUAUACUGACCUCAGUGGAGGGGAUGCAAACCCCAAAGAGUGCAUGUGACACCUCACUGCAGCCACCCAGCUGGUGCUCCAUGGAGGAGAACUGGGACACUGGUAUCUGUGUGCAAUACUUCAUGUGGCAACCCCAGGUGGAGGGACAACCAAUGGGUGCUUGAAUGGCAGCAGAGCAUGCUGAUCCACUGUGCUAUGCACUCCACU